AAAAUAUAGGUGGUUGUUUCUUUUUUUUCCCCAUUAAGAGAACUACUAUUACUAACAAGUCAAAAACUUAGAGAUUAGAUGGAAAUUGAUAUAAAUCGGAAAGUGGGCAAGUGGGGUUGGGUCUACACAAGAAAUAAGGAUCAGAAUAAAGAUUAAAGAUUAAGCUAUUAGAAUUAUUAUCUAAUUAGGAGUUUCCUUGUUUAAGUCUUUUAUUUGAUUAUAAAAUAAUUAAGUAUUGUUUCCUUUGUUUUCAUUAGCUUAAUAACAACACUCGUGUUUAUGUUACCUGUGACGGGUUCUAUUGGAAAUCUCUAUACAAGAAAUUUCCAUGUUACAAUUAUCGAUCUAUUUCUAUUGUUGUCUUUACCAAGUUGAUGCAAUAGAUUCAGGUUCAUGUUAAAAUUAUCUAAAGACGAUGUUAACAGGUCGGCUCUAGGUAUUUUGUGACUGACAUUUAUACAUGUGUUGGGUUUGUUAUGUAAUGUUUCUAGUUCUUCAGGUAUUCUGUGGACUUUUCAGAUCAAACAUGUUACUUUUAACGAAUUAUAUAUGCACUUUAUACUAAAGUUUAGACUAGAAUUAGGGCAAUGUUUUUUUAUUUAUUUAUGUGUGGAAUAAAGUUAUGAAGUUGCAUACAA